GGUAACAAGAGCAAAGGCUGCUGCUCAUUGUUGGGUUCCGGGACUAGGAAGGAACACUGAAGCUUAUACGUUUUAAAGGAUCAGUUUUGGUGUUCCAUCUUCUCUAUCAAAGCCAUAGGGCUUGAACCCGCUGCUCCGCUCUAAUAUGGCAGCAGCUGGGAGUUGGUGACAGAGCAGGUUUGGACGGGGCUACCUUAUCCUGUUUUUUUGGUUUAACCCAUUUGCCUUAUUUAUAUGUACUUUAGCUCCCCAGUUAUAUUAGCUAUUUAGCUUAGACACCAUCGAGUAUUUGUUAAAUAUGGUCCAAGUGUUAUUUGUUAAAUGCUUCUACCGCCAGUUGUCUUCCUCAAACAAUGCAGCAUACAUGUAAUAUUCAGAAAAAGAGUAGAAUGAAACAUAUUAUUGUAAUAUGAGCUAUUUACUAUGGUGCUACCUUUUAAUUCUAUCCUUUGUGUUGUAUGCCA